GGCCGGCUGGCCUAAUGGUUAAGGCGUCAGUUUCCGGUGUCACACCUAAGCUGAAGAUUCCGAGUUCGACUCUCGGGUUGGUCG